rnacentral:rRNA from 1 species
AUUGAACGCUGGCGGCAUGCUUUACACAUGCAAGUCGAACUGUAACAGGCCGCAAGGUGCUGACGAGUGGCGAACGGGUGAGUAAUGCAUCGGAACGUGCCCAGUCGUGGGGGAUAACUACUCGAAAGAGUAGCUAAUACCGCAUACGAUCUAUGGAUGAAAGCGGGGGACCGUAAGGCCUCGCGCGAUUGGAGCGGCCGAUGUCAGAUUAGGUAGUUGGUGGGGUAAAGGCUCACCAAGCCAACGAUCUGUAGCUGGUCUGAGAGGACGACCAGCCACACUGGGACUGAGACACGGCCCAGACUCCUACGGGAGGCAGCAGUGGGGAAUUUUGGACAAUGGGCGCAAGCCUGAUCCAGCAAUGCCGCGUGCAGGAAGAAGGCCUUCGGGUUGUAAACUGCUUUUGUACGGAACGAAACGGCUCUGGUUAAUACCCGGGGCUAAUGACGGUACCGUAAGAAUAAGCACCGGCUAACUACGUG